rnacentral:rRNA from 1 species
AGGGUUUGAUUCUGGCUCAGGACGAACGCUGGCGGCAUGCCUAACACAUGCAAGUCGAACGAGAAAGUUCCUUCGGGAGCAAUUAAAGUGGCGCACGGGUGAGUAACGCGUAGACAAUCUGCCCUUCAGUCUGGGACAACUUUUCGAAAGGAGAGCUAAUACCGGAUAACAACGCAUGACACAAGUUGUAUAUUUGAAAGCUUUAUGUGCUGAAGGAGGGGUCUGCGUCCCAUUAGCUAGUUGGUAGGGUAAAGGCUUACCAAGGCAACGAUGGGUAGCGGGUUUGAGAGGACGAUCCGCCACACUGGAACUGAGACACGGCCCAGACUCCUACGGGAGGCAGCAGUGGGGAAUAUUGCACAAUGGAGGAAACUCUGAUGCAGCAAUGUCGCGUGAGUGAAGAAGGCCCUUGGGUCGUAAAGCUCUUUUAUGGGGGAAGAUGAUGACGGUACCCCAAGAAUAAGCACCGGCUAACUAUGUGCCAGCAGCCGCGGUAAUAC